GACCGGCGCUCCCCGAUGGGAGAUGUAGUUCGGCCCCGGCGGGGCUGCUCCGGGGGGGAUGGAGCCGCUGGGGAUGCCCGGGGGACGCGUGACGAUGCGGUUUCAGAUCUCUGGAAUUUAAAGCCAAUCACAUGUUUUCUGCAAACCCUCACACCUAAUUUUGGCCUAUGGGGGGUUAAUGCAGUAGCAGAGUGAUGACUGUGCUGGCUGGGCAGCCUCCCUUCUGCCCUUGCUGCUUCCCCAGGGCUGAAAAAAGCUGCCUUGGCAACAGAGACAUCCUAAAGAGCUGCUGUGGAGCCUGCUCUUGGAUGGUCUUUCUGACAAAGCACAGCAGGCAGCAGGAGCUGAUGGAGAACCAAAUGGUGAAGGCAACCUUGUACUAGAGGCUUGAUGUCAGAAAUCCAUAGAAAUAAUACAGAAUAACAGAGGCCUUGGGAAAGGAGGAAGAGGUGGAGAACUGGGAGAGACAGUGUGGUUUGCCUAGAUGAAGGAAAACAUAUUUGAUGAGAACAGCAGAACUGUUGAAAAGGGGGCAAUGCCAUUAGCUUGUUCUCCUGCAGAGACUAGAGGAAGCCAACAGCAUACCUGGAAACUUGGAAAUUUUGCGUAACCUGCAACUGUUAUACUGCAACUGUUACACUGUGAAAAGCUGUUUUACCAAUCUUGUGGCAUUUCUGCCUUCCUUAUGCUGCCCUGUCUGUGGCAAGACAGACUGAACCAUUCUGAGGUGCUCAGACAAGUGGAAUAAAACUGAGCUGGCUGCUUGAAAGCUUUCGUCAAUAGGUGUCACUGCUCUGCUCUUCCCUUCUCAAAUCUCUCCUCUUUCCAUCGGCAGCUUGGAAACGACAACCUCUUCAAGGAGAAGUCACUAAUUUUACAGGUAGGCAUCCCAUUUUCCCUCCCUUACCAUCUUCCUCCACUAAUUUCAGUGUUUCUAAAGCUCUCAAUUAGCAAAUCUGCAACCACUCCUCUUGGGAUGCUAGUAUGCAGCCUAUGGCCAAAAGAAACCAAGCCUUUCCAGCUUUUAUUUGGAAGACAAGGAGGAAGAGUGGGCAUGGAAAAACCCAGUUGAGAACAGUUGCUGCAUUUCUUGCUGCCAUGAAGGGUCUGGCUCUACUAUAUGGUCUCAACGACCAAACACAGAGAGGAAGUAAUGCAGGACAUGCCAUGAAUAUUGCAGAGGCUUACAAAUAAAAGUUGAUGAAGUCCUGGCAUGAUUUAUGACUAGUAUUUUGGGUUUUGGGAAUUAAUGUGAAUAAGAAACCUCAUCUCUCAGUUGCACUGUGUAUAGACAACUCUGACCUGCAGCUCC